UCCGGUGGCCAGAGCGGUGUGGAACCACCCGUUCCCAUGCCGAACACGGAAGUGAAACGCACCAGCGCCUACGAUACUGCCCUGGCAACGGGGUGGGAAAAUAGGCCGCUGCCGGGG
rnacentral:rRNA from 1 species